rnacentral:rRNA from 1 species
AGGGUUCGAUUCUGGCUCAGAACGAACGCUGGCGGCGUGGAUUAGGCAUGCAAGUCGAACGGGACUUUAUGUUGUAGCAAUACUUUAUAAAGUCUAGUGGCGUAAGGGUGAGUAACACGUGGGUAAUGUACCCGAUAGUUUGGGAUAACGUUCCGAAAGGGACGCUAAUACCGGAUGUGAUGUUAGACCGCCGGGUUUAACAAGAAAGGUGGGGACCGCAAGGCCUGCCGCUAACGGAACGGCCCGCGACCUAUUAGCUAGUUGGUGGGGUAAAGGCCUACCAAGGCGAGGAUGGGUAGCCGAACUGAGAGGUUGACCGGCCACACUGGGACUGAGACACUGCCCAGACUUCUACGGAAGGCUGCAGUCGAGAAUCAUUCACAAUGGACGAAAGUCUGAUGAUGCGACGCCGCGUGCGCGAUGAAGGUCUUCGGAUUGUAAAGCGCUUUGAACAGGGAAGAAUGCCGCGUAUUUAAUAGAUAACGCGGAGGGACAGUACCUGACAAACAAGCCCCGGCUAAUUUCGUGCCAGCCGCCGC